rnacentral:rRNA from 1 species
UCUGGUGACAAUGGCGGAGGGGAAACACCCGUACCCAUCCCGAACACGGACGUGAAGACCUCCAGCGCCGAGGAUACUUGGAGGGAGACCUCCUGGGAAAGUAGGACGUUGCCAGGC